rnacentral:rRNA from 1 species
AACGAACGCUGGCGGCAUGCCUAACACAUGCAAGUCGAACGAGACCUUCGGGUCUAGUGGCGCCCGGGUGCGUAACGCGUGGGAACCUGCCCUUAGGUUCGGAAUAACUCCCCGAAAGGGGUGCUAAUACCGGAUAAUGUCUUCGGACCAAAGAUUUAUCGCCUUUGGAUGGGCCCGCGUUGUAUUAGCUAGUUGGUAGGGUAAAAGCCUACCAAGGCGACGAUCCAUAGCUGGUCUGAGAGGAUGAUCAGCCACACUGGGACUGAGACACGGCCCAGACUCCUACGGGAGGCAGCAGUGGGGAAUAUUGGACACUGGGCGAAAGCCUGAUCCAGCAAUGCCGCGUGAGUGAUGAAGGCCUUAGGGUGGUAAAGCUCUUUUACCCGGGAUGAUAAUGACAGUACCGGGAGAAUAAGCUCCGGCUAACUCCGU